GAGAUGACGCUUGUGUGUAUGUGUAUGUGUAUGUGUGUGUGUAUAUAUAUGUGUGUAUAUAUGUGUAUAUAUAUAUAUAUAUAUAUAUAUAUAUAUAUUACAUACACACACACACACACACACACAGCGUCAUCUC